CACGUAGGGACCAAGCGUUGUCCGGAAUCAUUGGGCGUAAAGAGCGUGUAGGCGGCUUGUUAAGUCUUGCGUGAAAUCUCGGGGCUCAACCCCGAGCGGUCGUGAGAAACUGGCAGGCUAGAGUGCGGGAGAGGAGAGUGGAAUUCCUGGUGUAGCGGUGAAAUGCGCAGAUAUCAGGAAGAACACCCGUGGCGAAGGCGGCUCUCUGGAACGCAACUGACGCUGAGACGCGAAAGCGUGGGGAGCAAACAGG
rnacentral:rRNA from 1 species